GACGAACGCUGGCGGCGUGCUUAACACAUGCAAGUCGAACGGAAAGGCCUCAGCUUGCUGGGGUACUCGAGUGGCGAACGGGUGAGUAACACGUGGGUGAUCUGCCUUGCACUCUGGGAUAAGCUUGGGAAACUGGGUCUAAUACCGGAUAUGAACUGCCUUUAGUGUGGUGGUUGGAAAGUUUUUUCGGUGCAAGAUGGGCUCGCGGCCUAUCAGCUUGUUGGUGGGGUAAUGGCCUACCAAGGCGUCGACGGGUAGCCGGCCUGAGAGGGUGUACGGCCACAUUGGGACUGAGAUACGGCCCAGACUCCUACGGGAGGCAGCAGUGGGGAAUAUUGCACAAUGGGCGGAAGCCUGAUGCAGCGACGCCGCGUGGGGGAUGACGGCCUUCGGGUUGUAAACUCCUUUCGACAGGGACGAAGCUUUUUGUGACGGUACCUGUAUAAGAAGCACCGGCUAACUACGUG
rnacentral:rRNA from 1 species